ACAGCUGGAGGACCAAAUUGCAACUCAUUAGGUCAAUUGGCAAUAGGUCAUUAACAUGACUGGGUAUAAAAAGAGCAUCUUGGAGUGGCAGCAGCUCUCAAGUAAAGAUGGGAAGAGGAUCACCAAUCCCCCUAAUUCUGCACCGACAAAUAGUGGAGCAAUAUCAGAAAGGAGUUCGACAGUGUAAACAGUUCUUUGGUUAGACAAAUCAAAAUUUGAAGUUCUUUAUGGAAAUCAGGGACACCGUGUCAUUCGGACUAAAGAGGAGAAGGACGACCCAAGUUGUUAUCAGCGCUCAGUUCAGAAGCCUGCAUCUCUGAUGGUAUGGGGUUGCAUUAGUGCGUGUGGCAUGGGCAGCUUACACAUCUGGAAAGACACUAUCAAUGCUGAAAGGUAUAUCCAGGUUCUAGAGCAACAUAUGCUCCCAUCCAGAUGACGUCUCUUUCAGGGAAGACCUUGCAUUUUCCAACAUGAUAAUGCCAAACCACAUACUGCAUCAAUUACAGCAUCAUGGCUGCGUAGAAGAAGGGUCCGGGUACUGAACUGGCCAGCCUGCAGUCCGGAUCUUUCACCCACAGAAAACAUUUGGCACAUCAUAAAACAGAAGAUAUGACAAAAAAGACCUAAGACAGUUGAGCAAUUAGAAUCCUACAUUAGACAAGAAUGGGUUAACAUUCCUAUCCCUAAACUUGAGCAACUUGUCUUCUCAGUCCCCAGACGUUUACAGACUGUUGUAAAGAGAAAAGGGGAUGUCUCACAGUGGUAAACAUGGCCUUGUCCCAACUUUGAGAUGUGUUGUUGUCAUGAAAUUUAAAAUCACCUAAUUUUUCUCUUUAAAUGAUACAUUUUCUCAGUUUAAACAUUUGAUAUGUCAUCUAUGUUCUAUUCUAAAUAAAAUAUGGAAUUUUGAAACUUCCACAUCAUUGCAUUCCGUUUUUAUUUACAAUUUGUACUUUGUCCCAACUUUUUUGGAAUCGGGGUUGUACUCUCACUACUUGCCAUAAUGCUCAAAAUUAAGAUGCUUGAAACAUUUUAGUUUAUGUGUAAUAUGCCUAGAAUACUAGUGUAUCUCAAACAAUUAGAAUAUUGUGAAAAAAGUUCAAUAUUUUCCAUCAGCUAUUUAAAAAAGUUAAUAUAUAAUAUAUUCCAGACUCAUUACAUGUCAAGUAAAAUAUUUCAAGCAUUUUUUUUACUUUAAUUUUGAUAAUUAUGGCCAACAGUGCAAUUUUUUUUUAAAAUUGCAACAUAUUAGAAUAUUUCAUUUUGAGUUUGAGUAAAACAGUAUAAAUACUAUGUAUCUCUCGGUCUAGUUCAGUAUAUGCAACCACAAUCAUGGGGAAGACUCCUGACUUGACAUUUGUCCAGAAGACGAUCAUCAACACCCUCCACAAGGAGGGUAAGCCACAGAAGGUCAUUGCUGAAAAGACUGGCUGGAAAAGGUGCACAAGCAACAGGGAUGACCGCAGCCUUGAGAGGAUUGUCAAGAAAAGUCGAUCCAAGAACUUGGGAGAGUUUCACAAGGAGUGGACUAAGGCUGAUGUCAGUGCAGCAAGAGCCACCAUGCAUAGACGUCUUCAGGAAAGGGGCUACAACUGUCGCACUCCUAAUAUCAAGCCACUCCUGAACCAGAGACAACAUCAGAAGCGUCUUACCUGGGCUAAGAAGAGAAAGAACUGGACUGUUGCUCAGUGGUCCAAAGUCCUCUUUUUAGAUGAAAGUAAAUUUUGCAUUUCAUUUGGCAAUCGAGGUCCUAGAGUCUGGAGGAAGAGUGGAGAGGCACAGAAUCCAAAGUGUUUGAAGUCCAGUGUGAAGUUCUCACAGUCUGUGAUGAUUUGGGGUGACAUGUCAUCUGCUAGUGUUGGGCCACUGUGUUUUAUCAAGUCCAAAGUCAACACAGCCAUCCACCAAGGGAUUUUAGAGCACUUCAUGCUUCCAUCUGCUGGCGAGCUUUAUGGAGAUGCCAAUUUGCCAAUUUCCAGCAGGACUUAGCACCUACCCACAGUGCCAAAACUACUACCAAAUGGUUUGCUGACCAUGAUAUUACUGUGCUUGAUUGGCCAGCCAACUCGCCUGACCUGAACCCCAGAGAGAGUCUAUAGGAUAUUGUCAAGAGGAAGAUGAAAAACAUCUGACUCAAAAAUACAGACGAGCUGAAGGCUGCCAUCAAAGCAACCUGGGCUUCAAUAACACCUCAGCAGUGCCUCAGGCUGAUCGACUCCAUGCCACACCACACUGAUGCAGUAAUUCAUGAUAAAGGAACCCCAACCAAGUAUUGAGGAGAGACACCAACUGCGGGAACCAAAUUCCUUGUGUAUAUUAACAUACUUGGCCAGUAAAUCUGAUUCUAAUUCUUAGAUCAGCAUGCUGAAACAACUCACUCAUCACAAAGAUCUCACUCAGUUCAAAUACCAGGCGUCUGCAUGUCCAUAACAAUUUAAGCAGCAGGAGCUCUUUUUGGACUUGUCCAGGGUGUAACCUGCCUCUCGCCCAUAAUCAGCUGGGAUAGGCUCCAGCUUGCCUGUGACCCUGUACAGGAUAAGCAGCUACAGAUGAUGGAUGGAUGGAUGGAUCUCUUUUUGGAAGAAUUCCAUGCUACACUUUGUGAGACUACAAUCCAUAGCAAAGAGCUAAAGAUACAGAGGCACAACUUUCCAAUAACAACUGAAAUAAUGCUCCACUGAAUGCAAAGAGCAGUGUCAGCUUUUCUGAAACCCCAUGUUGUUAAGUUUAACUCCCUUUUGCAUGAUUUUUGCAUAGCUAAAAUGGAACUUCAGCAUUCUCUUAACUUUGCCAUUGCACAGAGGACAAUGGAACAGUAAUAUAAAAUGUAUUAAUGCUCAUUAAUAAGCAUUCCCAUAAAUAAUGUAUGGAUUCCUGUAGUCUUUUUAAAUUUGUGGAUUUAGCAUGUACACAGGGCUAACAAAAUGCUUGGAGAACAUCCUAAUCACAGUCAUGCUCAAGCUCUGUAAAUUCUCGGCCAAAGUGAGCCUGUGUUACAAUAUUAGAGCUGCUUAGGGAGAGAAAAAAGCAAAUGGAGACAGGGUGAAGAGAGGAGAGGACAUGGACAAUAACCUGCACAACCCUUAUUUAGAAGAGAACUAGUUAUGAGCAGUUUGAGAACAUUUUUAAAGCUUUAAUAAGUGAAGCAGUUGACUUAAAUGAGGAUUGAGACCCCACCAUGAGUUUCGGCAUACUAGUGUCAAUGUAUGGUGCUCACCCAAAUGGGAUGAGAGGUGAAACGUCUUCAAGAAUCUCCAAGGAAGUCCAGUUGCUCUCUUUUACCACCCACAGUUUACUAUGACCUGGAUGACUGAGAAUCUUCAGAGACACCCAAACACAGAUGGUGUGUUCACACCUAUGAAAACAGCCCAAACUAAUGCCUAGUUUAAUAAAAUAAGAAGUGCAGUGAUCAUAAGGGGUCCAUGGUAUUUAUUUUAAACACUGGAUGGGAUACAUAGAGAGUUUGGGAACAACUUCAAGCUCAGCAAAGAGAUAGUGUGAGGUAGGACAUCAUAUUUCUAUAAAAUGCAUUUUUCAAGUCACAAAUGAUCAAUUUAGCAAUAGUAUAAACAACAAAAAUGUGAAAAAAUAUUUUUGAGGGGGAAAUAGUAUUUUUUCUGAAGUUUCUUGUGAAAAUCUGUGAACCCAGAAGUGUAACUUCAUUCUAAGAAUAACAAUGGCUGCUGUGAUUGGAAUGUUGAAAUCCAGUCAGUGGAUGAUUGGGAAAGUUCCCCUUUCAUUGUAUAUGAGGUGGCAUGAAUGAGGAGUUAGAGGGGGAGGAAGAGAUCAACAAGAUGCUUUAUGUUGGUUGCUAUAUGUAUGACCCAGAUGCAACCAACACCGAAAAUGUGGUACCUGAACAGCCAGAUAUGGAAUGGUGUGAAAUGACCCACUGAGACUGGAUAAUAGUUUCAGUGCUUUUUUGUUGACUCACCCGUGAGAAUACUGUUAAACACUGGAUAUUUCUGGAUUCACUGUUUAAAAGCUGCUUAGUUUGACUACUAUGAAGUAUCCAUGCCAAUUGCAAGAAUACCCCGUGGGUAUGUAUCAGCAUGGCCGACUAAAAGUGCAUGCAGAGACAAGCCUGUAUGCAUAGAACAUCACUACCAAGCAUCUUCCUGGCUAAUGUUCUGUGUCUGACAAACAAACUGGAUGAGGUCCAAUGUUGGAUUACUUUCCCAUGGAUUAAAGACCGCAAUGUCACUAUUUUAAGGUGGUGUGUGUAUCAAAUACAGGAUCCAGCAGUACAGCAAAAUUUACUGUUGGAUCUAGCAUGAA